CUCUAAAUUACUUAUGGUACCUUUUAUAUUGAAUUCAUAUACCUCUUUUUAUGACUUGUGAAUUUUAAAAUCUCCAUCUUGCUUGGUCUAGCACCCAAAAUUGUGCACACCCACACCACACCUGCAUGUGCUAGUCAAUGACAAAUCAGAAAUAACUAACUGCCCACCUGGGCUGUCCUAACCCAAGCUUGAGCCACCAUUGGCACUUGUGAGGCACAGGAAGUGAAGUAGGGAACAGUCUCUUGAAUUCGCUUACUUCCUGUGGACAGAGCUAGAGGCCAGUUUGUGCUAGGAACUGGAGCAAAGAAGAGGCCUGAAGACAGCUUUCCUUCAGAUCAGUCAGGAGAAGCUACUUCAAAGGAAAGAAGAUACAAGGCAGUUCAUUGUGUGUAUAGAUCAACAAACAGCCUGAGGAAUGGACUACUUAGAAGGGGAUUUCAAUCUGCAGCAAAGUAAUUUACUUUUGAUGCUAGAAGAAAUAGGAAAACACUGAUUAUUGAAUUGGUGUGUGGUAU
rnacentral:lncRNA from 1 species